AUGCGCCCUGAAGGAGCAGCCCCCUCUUACAUCCCUGAAACAGGGAAAUGCUCCUCUCCAUACACUACCCUCAGAAGGGACGUACAUGACUGGGAUACCUAUGACGGGCCAUUAGCUGGGGAUCACGGAGCCAAUGAACCAACUUAUGCAGAGGCCUAUAUUACCCAGAUUGGGCCCCCAAGGGAGACAAGACCUAAGGGGCCAGGUGGAACACAAGCCCAUGGCAGCAGUGCUUGGCCUGGCAGCAGGCAUUGUCCUCAUGCUGCUCUUGCUCUGCCUCUACCGGGUGCUCUGCCCAUGGAACUAUGAGCAACCCAGUGGUGGUCACAGCAUGUGAAGAUGGGGAGAGAUGCCCUGUGAUUACUACAACUAUGCAUUGCCUGAGAGGGAGAUUACACCACUGGUGCUAUGAGGGUACCUUUUGGACAUGGAAUGUCUGGCUAGUGAUGGGAUGCUGCUGCCUGGCAGGCCAAGUCUGCAUGUGGGACGCACAGACUGUGGACUGCCUUACGUACAUCCUGCACCCAGGGCCAUGCCAGGACAGCUGCAGAGGCAGAGCUUUUGAAGCCCAGGAGACCUGGGAAAAGCUGUCAGAUGGUGGCAAAACUAGCCCUGAGGAGCCUAGGGACAGCCCUCUGCUGUGACACUGCCCCUGAGGGCCUCCACCACUUUCCCUCUUCAGGCACAAGUCAGACCUCACCUGAUCAACACCAACUUCUCAGUGCAGCUAACCCCAAAGCCUACUCAACCCAAACCUUGGCACCAGGCAGGCUGUGGCAGCUCUAGGGACUCUAGCUAUAAUUUCAGUUGGCUAGUGCAAUGUAUAUACAAGGAGGAGGGCCAGGCUGCCAUGUGCCACCCAUGCGCCCACCCUCUCAGGAUCUCCAAUGGCCCAGGCUUCUCAAGAAGAGGGGGCUGCACCCAUGAAGAGCUCCCCUCCUCUUACUGGGUCUCCCAGCACAGCCAGCUCUAUCUGGAGCUUGGAGCUGCAAGACCACCUCAUCAUAGUUGGAUGAAGCAGUGGCCUGCUGGAGGUGUGGAAUGCCAUUGAAGGGGUGCUCUGCUGCAGCAACAAGGCGGUCUCCUCAGGCAUCACAGCCCUUGUCUUCCUGGACAGGAGGAUUUUAGCUGCUAGGCUUAAUGGUUCCCUUGAUUUCUUUUCCUUGGAGACUCACACUUCCCUCAGCACCCUGCAGCUCAGAGGGACCCCAGGGCGAGCAGAUACCUCUUAGCCCAGUGCACAAAUGUGAGGGCAUGGAGAGCCCCUGGCAACUGCCCUGUGAUCUCCUGACAGAUACCAUCGACAGCUGAGGGCCUACACUAACCCUGUCUAAUGGGGGCUGCCUCUCAGCUGUGAGUCUGACCCCAUGGCCAGGCCAUGAAGCCCUGAAGAAGGCUUUGGUCAUUCAGGAGUCAGAGAGGCAGAAGAAGCUCCAUUUCCACCCACAGCAGCUGUACCUGUCAGUGAAGCAGGGAGAGCUACAGAAGGUGAUCCUUGUGCUGCUAGACAACCUGGACCCCAACUUCCAGAGUGAUCAACAGAGCAAGUACACACCCCUGCAUGCAGCUAUGCAAAAGGGCUCCAUGGAGAUCUGUCAUGCGCUGCUGCAGGCAAGAGCCAACAUCAAUGCCAUAAAUCAGCAACAACAUUCACCACUGAUGGAGGCCAUGGUGAACAACCACCUGGAGGUGGUGCAUUACAUGGUGCAGCUAGGUAGCUGUGUCUAUAGCAAGGAAGAGGAUGGCUCCACCUAUCUCUAUCAUUCAGCCAAAAUUGGAAACUUGGAGAUUGUUAGCCUACUGCUGAACACAAGACAUGGUACUGAUGUCACCCUAACUGACAAUGAGGAAAACGUCUGCCAGCACUGUACCUCCUUUACUGGCAGUGCUGCCAUUGCUGAGGUCCUCCUGAAUGCCCAGUGCGACCUCCAUGCUGUCAACUACCAUGGGGACAAAUCCCUACACAUCACUGCCAUGGAUAGCCACCAUGACUAUGGUCUGUUGUUCAUGUCUCGUAGAGCCAACCCUGAGCUUCAAAACAAGAAAGGAGACACAGCAUGGGACCUGACCCCAGGGUGUCCUGAUGUAUGGUUUACACUGCAGCUCAACCAUAGGCUUAGGCUCAGGGUAGGGAACCAGGCUGUCCAUACUGAAAAGGUCAUCUGCCAGGACAUUGCAAGAGGAUACAAGAAUGUGUCCAUUCCCUGAGUCAAUGGUGUGGAUGGCAAGCCAUGCCCUGAGGAUUAUAGCAACAUCAGCUACUUCAUCAACCACCUGUGUGACCCCAACUUCAUUUCUGUCCAGGGCUUCAUGAUGCACCAAGACCUACAGUCUCCAUGCAUUACCUUCUUCAAUUCCAGGGACAUCCAGACUGGGGAAGAGCUGGGGUUUGACUAUGGUGACCGAUUCUAG